CCUACGGGCGGCAGCAGUCGAGAAUCAUUCACAAUGGGGGAAACCCUGAUGGCGCGACGCCGCGUGGGGGAAUGAAGGUCUUCGGAUUGUAAACCCCUGUCAUGGGGGAGCAAAUUAAAAAGAUAGUACCACAAGAGGAAGAGACGGCUAACUCUGUGCCAGCAGCCGCGGUAAUACAGAGGUCUCAAGCGUUGUUCGGAAUCACUGGGCUUAAAGCGUGCGUAGGCUGUUUCGUAAGUCGUGGGGGAAAGGCGCGGGCUCAACCCGCGGACGGCACAUGAUACUGCGAGACUAGAGUAAUGGAGGGGGAACCGGAAUUCUCGGUGUAGCAGUGAAAUGCGUAGAUAUCGAGAGGAACACUCGUGGCGAAGGCGGGUUCCUGGACAUUAACUGACGCUGAGGCACGAAGGCCAGGGGAGCGAAAGGGAUUAGAUACCCCUGUAGUC
rnacentral:rRNA from 1 species